AUCCAGCUGACGAGUCCCAAGUAGGACUAAGUGAGGAUCCUGGAU
rnacentral:hammerhead_ribozyme from 1 species